rnacentral:rRNA from 1 species
CGGGUACUCGAGUGGCGAACGGGUGAGCAACACGUGGGUGAUCUGCCCUUCACUUCGGGAUAAGCCUGGGAAACUGGGUCUAAUACUGGAUAGGACCAUCGUUUAGUGUCGGUGGUGGAAAGUUUUUUCGGUGGAGGAUGAGCUCGCGGCCUAUCAGCUUGUUGGUGGGGUAAUGGCCUACCAAGGCGACGACGGGUAGCCGGCCUGAGAGGGUGGACGGCCACAUUGGGACUGAGACACGGCCCAG